CAGGGCUCCUGCGGCGGAUCAUCCCAGCCUCCCGGGACUUUGGCCCGCCUCACCCGCCGAGCCCCUGGCAAGGGUUGUCCGGGGAUGCCUCUCGGCCGCUUUCCACGGGGAACUUAACCGGCCGCGCCUGCCGCCUGGAUGGGACCGCCGGAGUGCUCUAAAGUCUCCAGUGUGUAUUGAAUUGGUGAGGAAUUUGGGGAAAAAACAAGCUGAAGUUCCUGUUCCAUGGAUCCGUUGGGUGCACCUUCCCAGUUUGUGGAUGUGGAUACGCUACCAAGCUGGGGCAACUCGUGUGAAGAUCAGUUAAAUGCUUCUGAUGCUGCAGCUGAAACAUAUCAGGAAGAGACUUUUAGAUCACCUUUUCUUUAUAAUAAGGAUAUCAAUGGAAAAGUGGUUCUUUGGAAAGGAGAUGUGGCGUUGCUGAACUGUACAGCUAUUGUGAAUACCAGCAAUGAAAGUCUUACAGAUAAGAAUCCCGUGUCAGACAGUAUCUUCAUGCUUGCAGGGCCUGAUUUGAAGGAGGACCUACAGAAACUUAGAGGUUGCCGGACAGGUGAAGCAAAAUUGACGAAAGGAUUCAACCUGGCUGCCCGGUUCAUCAUUCACACAGUGGGGCCUAAGUACAAGAGCCGCUAUCGCACGGCCGCCGAGAGCUCCCUGUACAGCUGCUACAGAAACGUCCUUCAGCUGGCAAAAGAGCAGUCAAUGUCUUCUGUUGGAUUCUGUGUCAUCAAUUCUGCAAAACGAGGUUAUCCUUUAGAGGAUGCCACACACAUAGCACUUCGCACUGUAAGGAGAUUCCUUGAAAUUCAUGGGGAGACUAUUGAAAAAGUAGUAUUUGCUGUCUCUGAACUUGAAGAGGCUACUUACCGGAAGCUGCUACCUCUGUACUUCCCAAGGUCGUUGAAGGAGGAGAGUCACUCGUUGCCAUACCUACCUGCAGAUAUUGGAAACGCAGAAGGGGAGCCUGUGGUACCUGAACGGCAGAUUAGAAUAAGUGAGAAACCUGGUGCCCCGGAGGACAACCAAGAAGAGGAGGAUGAAGGCUUGGGAGUUGAUCUGUCUUUCAUUGGCUCUCAUGCUUUUGCUCGAAUGGAAGGAGAUAUCGAUAAGCAAAGAAGACUGAUCCUUCAAGGACAGUUAUCAGAGGCAGCCCUGCAGAAGCAGCAUCAAAGAAAUUACAAUCGCUGGUUAUGCCAAGCACGAUCUGAGGACCUAUCUGAUAUUGCUUCUCUAAAAGCCUUAUACCAAACAGGUGUCGAUAACUGUGGUCGCACGGUAAUGGUGGUAGUUGGAAGAAACAUUCCUGUAACACUAAUAGAUAUGGACAAGGCUCUCUUAUAUUUUAUCCAUGUAAUGGAUCACAUUGCUGUGAAGGAGUAUGUAUUAGUGUAUUUUCACACACUGACCAGCGAAUACAAUCACCUGGACUCUGACUUCCUGAAGAAACUCUACGAUGUUGUUGAUAUCAAGUACAAGAGGAAUUUGAAGGCUGUUUAUUUUGUUCAUCCAACGUUUCGUUCAAAGAAAUUGACCAGUCAAAAUGCAAAGAAUCUAAAAUAGCCAAAACAACUUUGAAAAGAAGAACAAAGUUGGAGGACCAACACUACCUGCUUUCAAAGCUUAUUCCAAAGUUGCAGUACUUGAGACAGUGAGGUACUGACAUGAAGAUAGACAAAUCAAUGGUGUAGAAUUAAGAAUCCAGAAAUAGACUCAUGUAAAUAUGGAUAACUGAUAUUUAACAAAAGCACAAAGUCAGAUCAGUGGGAAAAGUUUAGUCUGUUCAACAAAUGGUACUGGAACAAUUGGAUCUCCAUAUGUAAAAAAAAAGAAAAAAGAACUUGAUCCAUAUCUUGCAUCUCAUACAAAAUUAACUAAAAAUGGUUUAAAGACCUAAAUGUAAAACAUUAAACUGUUAAACGUGUAGAGGAAAGUGUAGGAGAAAAAAGCUUUGUGUGACCAUGAGGAAAGCAAAAGAUUUCUUAGAUAUAAGACCAAAAGCACAAUCCAUUAAAGAAAUUAAACUUUAUCAAAAUGGAAAACUUCUUCUCUUUGAAAAUAGUUAAUAGAAUAAAAAGAUAAACCACAGCCUGAGAGAAAAUCUUUGUAAAUAAAACAUUUACCUGAUACGUAAAGGAAAUCUCAAAACUCGGUAAUAAGGAAACAAUUCAAUUUAGAUAUAGGCAAAAGAUUUGUACAGAACACUUCACCAAAGAAGAUACGGAGAUGUCAAAUAAGCACAUGGAAAGAUGUCCAUCACAAUUGGUUAUUAGGAAAGUACAAAUGAAACUGAAAUGACGUAUCAUUACAUUUCUAUUAGAAUGGCUAAAGUUUAGAAGACUGCCCAUACCAAAUGUUGGUGAGAAUGUGGAAGAACUGCAGCUCCCUAUACAAGGGCUGAUCAGAGGGUAAAAUGUUGCAGAAAGUUUGGAACACAAUUUAACAGUUUAUUUAAGAGUUAAACAUACACCUACUGUGUGGUCCAGACAUUCCACUCCGUGUAUUUACCCAAGACAAAUGAAAACGUAUUCAUACAACGACCUGUACACAAAUACUCAUAGCAGCUUUAUUUAUUAAGCCAAAAACUAGAAACAACUUGUGUGCUCCUCACUGGGAGGAUCGGUUACCCAAACUGGCAUAUCCCUACAAUACCACUCAGCAAUAAAAAAAAAAAAAAAAAAGAAUGAACUAUUGAUAUAUGCAGCAACGUGAGUGGUUGUAUUGUGCUGAGUAAAAGAUGUAUAUAUGUGUGUAUCAGACAAGUGUACAUGCCGUAUGAUUCCCUUCAUAGUAAAAUUCUAGGGAAUACAAACUACGAUUUUUUCCAGAAAGUAGAGCAGUGGUUACCAGUGGGCAGGGAGGAGGGCCAGGAGGGAGGAAUUACAAAGGACCCUGAGAAUCUUUGGGAGUGAUUAUUAUGUUCAUUUUCUCGAUUGUGAUGAUGAUAUUGUGGAUGUACGCAUAUAUCGGAACUUGAACAAAUUUUAUACUUUAAAUAUGGUUAACUUAUUGUAAGUCAGUUAUAUCUUAAUAAAAUCAUUCCUUUUUUUUUUUUUUUUAAACUGCAAUGAGAUAUCACUACACUGCCACCAGAAUGGCUGAAGUUUAAAAGACUGACAGUGCCAAAUACUACCAGUGAUGUGGAGCAACUGGAAUUCUCCUACAUUAUAAGUUGGAAUGUGAAUUUGUGCAACCUCUUUGAAAAAAGUAUCAACAUGGUUUUUUACCACCUUUUCUGUCUCAGGACUGAAGGACAAAAUCCACCAUGUGGACAGCCUCCACCAGCUCUUUUCUGCCAUCUCACCAGAACAGAUCGACUUCCCUCC